rnacentral:rRNA from 1 species
CCCUUAGAUGUUCUGGGCCGCACGCGCGCUACACUGACGAAGUCAGCGAGCAUCUCCUACGCCGAAAGGUGCGGGGAAUCUUGUGAAACUUUGUCGUGCUGGGGAUUGAUUUUUGAAAUUCUUGAUCAUCAACGAGGAAUUCCUAGUAAGCGCAAGUCAGCAGCUUGCGUUGAUUACGUCCCUGCCCUUUGUACACACCGCCCGUCGCUACUACCGAUUGAAUGGUUUAGUGAGAUUUUUGGACUGGAACUCUCUUGUUCAGCAAUGAACGAGAGGGACUCUGGGAAGCUAUUCUAACUGUAUCAUUUAGAGGAAGGAGAAGUCGUAACA